AUCCAACAGAAAUUGAUCGAUGCUCUCUUGUGAGAGAAAAAGCCAACUACUAUGGAGGUGAAGGAUUUGAGUGGCUCCAAAUAUAGACGUUAAGCACGAUCUAUUUGUUUUUGACAAAUAACGUGGUGAUCUAUAUGCUUGGGGAGACUUUUUUGAUGACAACGUGGGCAAAGCUCGAAGAGAUGUAUUUGAUGAAGUCACUCACCAAUGCUCUCUUCCUCUAAAAGUAGUUCUAUCAGCUGCGGAUG
rnacentral:lncRNA from 1 species